CGUGGGUAACCUGCCCAAGAGAUCGGGAUAACACCUGGAAACAGAUGCUAAUACCGGAUAACAACAGAUGAUGCCUAUCAACUGUUUAAAAGAUGGUUCCGCUAUCACUCUUGGAUGGACCUGCGGUGCAUUAGCUAGUUGGUAGGGUAACGGCCUACCAAGGCGAUGAUGCAUAGCCGAGUUGAGAGACUGAUCGGCCACAUUGGGACUGAGACACGGCCCAAACUCCUACGGGAGGCAGCAGCC
rnacentral:rRNA from 1 species